CAGUCGUACGCUUCUUUUUCACCGGAGCUUGCUCCACCGGAAAAAGAAGAGUGGCGAACGGGUGAGUAACACGUGGGUAACCUGCCCAUCAGAAGGGGAUAACACUUGGAAACAGGUGCUAAUACCGUAUAACAAUCGAAACCGCAUGGUUUUGAUUUGAAAGGCGCUUUCGGGUGUCGCUGAUGGAUGGACCCGCGGUGCAUUAGCUAGUUGGUGAGGUAACGGCUCACCAAGGCCACGAUGCAUAGCCGACCUGAGAGGGUGAUCGGCCACAUUGGGACUGAGACACGGCCCAAACUCCUACGGGAGGCAGCAGUAGGGAAUCUUCGGCAAUGGACGAAAGUCUGACCGAGCAACGCCGCGUGAGUGAAGAAGGUUUUCGGAUCGUAAAACUCUGUUGUUAGAGAAGAACAAGGAUGAGAGUAACUGUUCAUCCCUUGACGGUAUCUAACCAGAAAGCCACGGCUAACUACGUGCCAGCAGCCGCGGUAAUACGUAGGUGGCAAGCGUUGUCCGGAUUUAUUGGGCGUAAAGCGAGCGCAGGCGGUUUCUUAAGUCUGAUGUGAAAGCCCCCGGCUCAACCGGGGAGGGUCAUUGGAAACUGGGAGACUUGAGUGCAGAAGAGGAGAGUGGAAUUCCAUGUGUAGCGGUGAAAUGCGUAGAUAUAUGGAGGAACACCAGUGGCGAAGGCGGCUCUCUGGUCUGUAACUGACGCUGAGGCUCGAAAGCGUGGGGAGCAAACAGGAUUAGAUACCCUGGUAGUCCACGCCGUAAACGAUGAGUGCUAAGUGUUGGAGGGUUUCCGCCCUUCAGUGCUGCAGCUAACGCAUUAAGCACUCCGCCUGGGGAGUACGACCGCAAGGUUGAAACUCAAAGGAAUUGACGGGGGCCCGCACAAGCGGUGGAGCAUGUGGUUUAAUUCGAAGCAACGCGAAGAACCUUACCAGGUCUUGACAUCCUUUGACCACUCUAGAGAUAGAGCUUCCCCUUCGGGGGCAAAGUGACAGGUGGUGCAUGGUUGUCGUCAGCUCGUGUCGUGAGAUGUUGGGUUAAGUCCCGCAACGAGCGCAACCCUUAUUGUUAGUUGCCAUCAUUUAGUUGGGCACUCUAGCAAGACUGCCGGUGACAAACCGGAGGAAGGUGGGGAUGACGUCAAAUCAUCAUGCCCCUUAUGACCUGGGCUACACACGUGCUACAAUGGGAAGUACAACGAGUCGCGAAGUCGCGAGGCUAAGCUAAUCUCUUAAAGCUUCUCUCAGUUCGGAUUGUAGGCUGCAACUCGCCUACAUGAAGCCGGAAUCGCUAGUAAUCGCGGAUCAGCACGCCGCGGUGAAUACGUUCCCGGGCCUUGUACACACCGCCCGUCACACCACGAGAGUUUGUAACACCCGAAGUCGGUGAG
rnacentral:rRNA from 1 species